GGAAAAAACAAAUACAGAACUAUAACAGAUGUUUUCAAGUACGAUCAAGGUCACUAGUACCAUUGUCUGCGAUAUGAUUGGGACCUUGGGCACAGACACACAACUCUGAGAAACUUUUCUCUGAUGGAAAUGACUCCUGGAAACAAUGACAUUCUGACACCAUGCCUAAUGCACCCUCUUUGGGAAGUUUGAAUUCAACGUCACAAUGGCUGUGUUCAGAUUACCGGUUUCAUCUUGCUUGUA